AAAGUCGUAACAAGGUUUCCGUAGGUGAACCUGCGGAAGGAUCAUUACCACAAUGAAUGUUGGAUAGGAAGCUGGUUGUAAAAUGCCACCUUCUCUAUCACAAUAAUUCCCACCCAAUGUAAACCAUAAACUGUUACAUCUUUGGCGAUACCGAUGAUUUGUUUUGUCCUAAACAACUAAACAAAUAACCACUGAUGGGUUCUUAAUUGAGCCAUGGGUGUGUGUUCGCCAGAGUAUUUAUUCAAAAACUCUUUUUUAUAUAAUUGUUAUCUGAGAAAAUAAAAACAAAAGUUAAAAACUUUCAACAACGGAUCUCUUGGUUCUG
rnacentral:misc_RNA from 1 species